rnacentral:rRNA from 1 species
UACGUAGGGUGCAAGCGUUAAUCGGAAUUACUGGGCGUAAAGCGUGCGCAGGCGGUUUUGUAAGUCUGUCGUGAAAGCCCCGGGCUCAACCUGGGAAUUGCGAUGGAGACUGCAAGGCUUGAAUCUGGCAGAGGGGGGUAGAAUUCCACGUGUAGCAGUGAAAUGCGUAGAGAUGUGGAGGAACACCGAUGGCGAAGGCAGCCCCCCUGGGUCAAGAUUGACGCUCAUGCACGAAAGCGUGGGGGAGCAAACAGG